rnacentral:rRNA from 1 species
ACGGGGUGCAGCAGGCGCGAAACCUUCACAAUGUGCGAAAGCGCGAUGAGGGGAUCCCAAGUGCUUGCUCGUAAGAGUAAGCUGUUUUUAUGUCUAAAACGCAUAGAGAGUAAGGGCUGGGUAAGACGGGUGCCAGCCGCCGCGGUAAUACCUGCAGCUCAAGUGGUGACCGCUAUUAUUGGGCCUAAAACAUUCGUAGCCGGUUUGGUAAAUGCCUGGGUAAAUCGUGUAGCUUAACUAUACGAAUUCCGGGUAGACUGCCAAACUUGAGACCGGGAGAAGCUAGAGGUACUCCUUGGGUAGAGGUGAAAUCCUGUAAUCCUUGGGGGACCACCAGUGGCGAAGGCGUCUGGCUAGAACGGGUCCGACGGUAAGGGACGAAGCCCUGGGGCACAAACCGGAUUAGAUACCCGGGUAGCCCAGGGUGUAAACGCUGCGAGCUUGGUGUUGGGGGUCCCACGUGGGCGUCCAGUGCCGGAGAGAAGUUGUUAAGCAAGCUGCCUGGAAGUACGUCGCAA